UAGGGAAUCUUCGGCAAUGGACGAAAGUCUGACCGAGCAACGCCGCGUGAGUGAAGAAGGUUUUCGGACCGUAAAACUCUGUUGGUAGAGAAGAGCGUUGGUGAGAGUGGAAAGCUCAUCAAGUGACGGUAACUACCCAGAAAGGGACGGCUAACUACGUGCUAG
rnacentral:rRNA from 1 species